GGGAGUGCGGGCACCUAAUACAUGCAAGUCGAGCGAACUGAUUAGAAGCUUGCUUCUAUGACGUUAGCGGCGGACGGGUGAGUAACACGUGGGCAACCUGCCUGUAAGACUGGGAUAACUUCGGGAAACCGAAGCUAAUACCGGAUAGGAUCUUCUCCUUCAUGGGAGAUGAUUGAAAGAUGGUUUCGGCUAUCACUUACAGAUGGGCCCGCGGUGCAUUAGCUAGUUGGUGAGGUAACGGCUCACCAAGGCAACGAUGCAUAGCCGACCUGAGAGGGUGAUCGGCCACACUGGGACUGAGACACGGCCCAGACUCCUACGGGAGGCAGCAGUAGGGAAUCUUCCGCAAUGGACGAAAGUCUGACGGAGCAACGCCGCGUGAGUGAUGAAGGCUUUCGGGUCGUAAAACUCUGUUGUUAGGGAAGAACAAGUACAAGAGUAACUGCUUGUACCUUGACGGUACCUAACCAGAAAGCCACGGCUAACUACGUGCCAGCAGCCGCGGUAAUACGUAGGUGGCAAGCGUUAUCCGGAAUUAUUGGGCGUAAAGCGCGCGCAGGCGGUUUCUUAAGUCUGAUGUGAAAGCCCACGGCUCAACCGUGGAGGGUCAUUGGAAACUGGGGAACUUGAGUGCAGAAGAGAAAAGCGGAAUUCCACGUGUAGCGGUGAAAUGCGUAGAGAUGUGGAGGAACACCAGUGGCGAAGGCGGCUUUUUGGUCUGUAACUGACGCUGAGGCGCGAAAGCGUGGGGAGCAAACAGGAUUAGAUACCUUGGUAAGUCA
rnacentral:rRNA from 2 species